rnacentral:rRNA from 1 species
CCAGUAGUGUAUGCUUCUCCUAAAGACUAAGCCAUGCAUGCCUACGAAUAGAAGAGCAUUCUCUCCGAAUCUGCGAACGGCUCCGCAAACCAGUUGUAAACUAUAGCAAGCAUGCCCCGGCGUCGGCCGCAAGGUCGACGACGGUGCGACAAGGAUAACCCUGGUAAUUCUGAGGCUAAUACAAGAACAUAAACCCUGCCCUAACCAGGUAUGGCGGGCGGGGGACGUGUGAUACAUCGUAACGGGUGUAAUGGGAAUAGGUGCACGUUCAGACCACCAUACAAAACGGGGAGAAGUGUGCUUCGGCACCAACUUUCCGGGUGGCUCUUGCUGUGUGCUUCUGACCUAUCAACUAGAUGGCAGCGUAACGGACAUGCUAUGGUGACAACGGGUACAGAGGAUAAGGGUUCGAUCCUGGAGAGUGGGCCUGAGAGAUUGCUCACACUUCUAAGGAAGGCAGCAGGCGCGCAACGUUCCCCUUGGGCAAUGCUCGAGGGCGUUAGGGGACAUAUGAAUGUCUGCCUAUUGGUGGACAAUUCAAAUGG